rnacentral:misc_RNA from 1 species
AUGGAUUGGAAUGAAAUGGAAUGGAAAGGAUUCGAAUGGAAUGUAAUCGAAUGGAAUGGAAUCGAACGGAAUGGAAUAAAAUGGAAGAAAAUUGGUAAGAAAUGGAAUUGAAAUGAAUGGAGUGUUAUGGAAUGGAUUUAAAAGGAAUUGAAUGUAAUAGAAUGGAGUGGAGUGGAUUCGAAUAUAAUGGAUUGGAAUGGAAUGAAAUUAUAUGGAAUGGGAACGAAUGGAAUGGAAUGGAAAGGAAUAUAUUGGAAUUAAUUCGAGUGGAAUGGAAUGGAAAGGAUUGGAAUGGAGUGGAAUGGAAUGGAGUGGAGUGGAAUGGAAU